GAAGAGAGAGUUAAAUAGUACGUGAAACCGUUCGGGGGUAAACGGACAGAGCCCGUGAAUCCGGGCGACGGAAUUCAGAAUUGACGGGGCGUUCGCGCGUCGCGUCGGUUCGAUAUUUCCGUCGCCGCGCAUACGGACGUCGCGACCCGUUCGGUGUCGGUCCGCAGGAGACGUGCGAAAGUUCGCGACCGUCUGUCGGGUUUCGGCUCGGCGGGCGUGUUCGCGAGUGCGCGUUUUUUUUUUCUGGCCGACUCGCCGGACGGUAAGCGAAGCGGUGAUCGCGGCGGCCUCUCGUCAGCGCCGUCGCGUUUCCCGGUCAGCGACGAAUCUUCGGGCCUCUUUCCGACCCGUCUUGAAACACGGACCAAGGAGUCUAACGUGCGCGCGAGUCGCGGGGUGUCGAGCGGUCGGCGUCUCAGUCGGCCGCUCGUUACGAUACGAAACCCGUCUCGUUUUACGAAAGGCGCAAUGAAAGUGAAUAAUUUUGCGGGGAAGAUGACGUUACCGAGUACACGUUCCGCGCUCUCGAAGCGCGGCCGGUCGUCCGCAUUCCCAGGGCGUCCCAGUGGCCCGGCGGCGUUGCGGGCGUCGUUCCUUCGGGGACGGCGUUCGCGCGUCGUCGAACCGGGGCGCACCUAUAGCGUGCACGUUGGUACCCGAAAGAUGGUGAACUAUGCCCGGCCAGGAUGAAGUCAGGGGAAACCCUGAUGGAGGUCCGCAGCGAUUCUGACGUGCAAAUCGAUCG
rnacentral:rRNA from 1 species